UAUAUUUUACUUUCCUGCUGGGUGUUCAAAGGACAGUGUGAUAUAAAUUCAGUAUCUGGCAUCAUUGGUUUUCUUGGCUUUGUGCAUGUUAAACCUGGUAUUUUUACUGAUACAGUA